AGAUUAAGUUAUUAAGGGCGCACGGUGGAUGCCUUGGCACUAGAAGCCGAUGAAGGACGUUACUAACGACGAUAUGCUUUGGGUAGCUGUAAGUAAGCGUUGAUCCAGAGAUUUCCGAAUGGGGGAACCCAGCAUGAGUUAUGUCAUGUUAUCGACAUGUGAAUUCAUAGCAUGUCAGAAGGCAGACCCGGAGAACUGAAACAUCUUAGUACCCGGAGGAAGAGAAAGAAAAAUCGAUUCCCUGAGUAGCGGCGAGCGAAACGGGAAGAGCCCAAACCAACAAGCUUGCUUGUUGGGGUUGUAGGACACUCUAUACGGAGUUACAAAAGAACAUGUUAGACGAAUCAUCUGGAAAGAUGAAUCAAAGAAGGUAAUAAUCCUGUAGUCGAAAACAUAUUCUCUCUUGAGUGGAUCCUGAGUACGACGGAGCACGUGAAAUUCCGUCGGAAUCUGGGAGGACCAUCUCCUAAGGCUAAAUACUCUCUAGUGACCGAUAGUGAACCAGUACCGUGAGGGAAAGGUGAAAAGUACCCCGGAAGGGGAGUGAAAGAGAACUUGAAACCGUGUGCUUACAAGUAGUCAGAGCCCGUUAAUGGGUGAUGGCGUGCCUUUUGUAGAAUGAACCGGCGAGUUACGAUCUGAUGCAAGGUUAAGCAGCAAAUGUGGAGCCGCAGCGAAAGCGAGUCUGAAUAGGGCGUUGAGUAUUUGGUCGUAGACCCGAAACCAGGUGAUCUACCCUUGGUCAGGUUGAAGUUCAGGUAACACUGAAUGGAGGACCGAACCGACUUACGUUGAAAAGUGAGCGGAUGAACUGAGGGUAGCGGAGAAAUUCCAAUCGAACUUGGAGAUAGCUGGUUCUCUCCGAAAUAGCUUUAGGGCUAGCCUCAAGUGAUGAUUAUUGGAGGUAGAGCACUGUUUGGACGAGGGGCCCCUCUCGGGUUACCGAAUUCAGACAAACUCCGAAUGCCAAUUAAUUUAACUUGGGAGUCAGAACAUGGGUGAUAAGGUCCGUGUUCGAAAGGGAAACAGCCCAGACCACCAGCUAAGGUCCCAAAAUAUAUGUUAAGUGGAAAAGGAUGUGGCGUUGCCCAGACAACUAGGAUGUUGGCUUAGAAGCAGCCAUCAUUUAAAGAGUGCGUAAUAGCUCACUAGUCGAGUGACACUGCGCCGAAAAUGUACCGGGGCUAAACAUAUUACCGAAGCUGUGGAUUGUCCUUUGGACAAUGGUAGGAGAGCGUUCUAAGGGCGUCGAAGCAUGAUCGCAAGGACAUGUGGAGCGCUUAGAAGUGAGAAUGCCGGUGUGAGUAGCGAAAGACGGGUGAGAAUCCCGUCCACCGAUUGACUAAGGUUUCCAGAGGAAGGCUCGUCCGCUCUGGGUUAGUCGGGUCCUAAGCUGAGGCCGACAGGCGUAGGCGAUGGAUAACAGGUUGAUAUUCCUGUACCACCUAGUAUCGUUUUAAUCGAUGGGGGGACGCAGUAGGAUAGGCGAAGCGUGCUGUUGGAGUGCACGUCCAAGCAGUAAGGCUGAGUGUUAGGCAAAUCCGGCACUCAUAAGGCUGAGCUGUGAUGGGGAGAGGAAAUUGUUUCCUCGAGUCGUUGAUUUCACACUGCCGAGAAAAGCCUCUAGAUAGAUAACAGGUGCCCGUACCGCAAACCGACACAGGUAGUCAAGAUGAGAAUUCUAAGGUGAGCGAGCGAACUCUCGUUAAGGAACUCGGCAAAAUGACCCCGUAACUUCGGGAGAAGGGGUGCUCUUUAGGGUUCACGCCCAGAAGAGCCGCAGUGAAUAGGCCCAAGCGACUGUUUAUCAAAAACACAGGUCUCUGCUAAACCGUAAGGUGAUGUAUAGGGGCUGACGCCUGCCCGGUGCUGGAAGGUUAAGAGGAGUGGUUAGCUUCUGCGAAGCUACGAAUCGAAGCCCCAGUAAACGGCGGCCGUAACUAUAACGGUCCUAAGGUAGCGAAAUUCCUUGUCGGGUAAGUUCCGACCCGCACGAAAGGCGUAACGAUUUGGGCACUGUCUCAACGAGAGACUCGGUGAAAUCAUAGUACCUGUGAAGAUGCAGGUUACCCGCGACAGGACGGAAAGACCCCGUGGAGCUUUACUGUAGCCUGAUAUUGAAAUUCGGCACAGCUUGUACAGGAUAGGUAGGAGCCUUUGAAACGUGAGCGCUAGCUUACGUGGAGGCGUUGGUGGGAUACUACCCUAGCUGUGUUGGCUUUCUAACCCGCACCACUUAUCGUGGUGGGAGACAGUGUCAGGCGGGCAGUUUGACUGGGGCGGUCGCCUCCUAAAAGG
rnacentral:rRNA from 1 species